AUUGAACGCUGGCGGCAGGCCUAACACAUGCAAGUCGAAUGGUAACAGGAAACAGCUUGCUGUUUCGCUGACGAGUGGCGGACGGGUGAGUAAUGUCUGGGAAACUGCCUGGUGGAGGGGGAUAACUACUGGAAACGGUAGCUAAUACCGCAUAACGUCGCAAGACCAAAGAGGGGGACCUUCGGGCCUCUUGCCAUCAGAUGUGCCCAGAUGGGAUUAGCUAGUAGGUGGGGUAACGGCUCACCUAGGCGACGAUCCCUAGCUGGUCUGAGAGGAUGACCAGCCACACUGGAACUGAGACACGGUCCAGACUCCUACGGGAGGCAGCAGUGGGGAAUAUUGCACAAUGGGCGCAAGCCUGAUGCAGCCAUGCCGCGUGUAUGAAGAAGGCCUUCGGGUUGUAAAGUACUUUCAGCGGGGAGGAAGGGAGUAAAGUUAAUACCUUUGCUCAUUGACGUGACCCGCAGAAGAAGCACCGGCUAACUCCGU
rnacentral:rRNA from 1 species